GUUUCUGUGGUGUAGGGGUUAUCACAUCCGCCUAACAUGCGGGAGGUUCCAGGUACGAGCCCUGGUAGAAACA
rnacentral:tRNA from 1 species